rnacentral:rRNA from 1 species
GAUGAACGCUGGCGGCGUGCCUAAUACAUGCAAGUCGAGCGAACAGACGAGGAGCUUGCUCCUCUGACGUUAGCGGCGGACGGGUGAGUAACACGUGGAUAACCUACCUAUAAGACUGGGAUAACUUCGGGAAACCGGAGCUAAUACCGGAUAAUAUAUUGAACCGCAUGGUUCAAUAGUGAAAGACGGUUUUGCUGUCACUUAUAGAUGGAUCCGCGCCGCAUUAGCUAGUUGGUAAGGUAACGGCUUACCAAGGCAACGAUGCGUAGCCGACCUGAGAGGGUGAUCGGCCACACUGGAACUGAGACACGGUCCAGACUCCUACGGGGGCAGCAGUAGGGAAUCUUCCGCAAUGGGCGAAAGCUUGACGGAGCAACGCCGCGUGAGUGAUGAAGGUCUUCGGAUCGUAAAACUCUGUUAUUAGGGAAGAACAAAUGUGUAAGUAACUAUGCACGUCUUGACGGUACCUAAUCAGAAAGCCACGGCUAACUACGUG